rnacentral:lncRNA from 1 species
AUUGGAACACAACUGCAGCAGACUACACUAUUUAUUUUAUGUACUUGAAGAUAGAGCCUCUUGAACUUGAUAUGCAAAUGCAUGUGAAUAAUAUGCAAACGUGUGUGAGCCAAGACGCUGGCAUUUUUCUUUUAAUGGGACUGUGAUUCUUAUUCAAGAAGGAAGAGCAUCUUCCUCAUGUCCCUCUGCAUCAGUGCUCUCCUGCUCUUCUCUUCAAGGUCCUGACCAGCUUGUAACUACACUAAGCUUCAAAGCCCUGAGAAAAUUACAGAGGUCAGAGAGGCAAAGACUGCCACCUCGGAUAAAGAUGUUCCUCCCUGCGAAUGCAUAACACUCUCGAGAGCCUAGAAUACAGUAAGACACGAGGGCUUCCAAUGAGAGUCUCAGGGGCUAAGUAUGGUCCACAUUAACCACACAGUUCUCCUGAGGACUUCAGGGGAGUGAAGGUUAUCUGGUUAGCCCUCCAGGAAGACAUCAUACGACGAAGAUUUCUGAGAAUGAAUCCUAAAGCUUGCUCCAGAAGAAUUCACCUAACAUCCUGAAAGCAUCUUCUCUUCCACAGAACCAGUAGAUCCAAAGCUCAGAGCAACACGCUUGAGGACGAGGACCUGGAGUCAGAGCUGACAGGCGGCCUGACCGCACACUUCCAUCCCUUGAGAACCAUUCAGCUGGUUUCCAGCUUUGUUCGCUAUGCAAAUACCUUGAUUGACACUGAUCAAUGACUAGCACUUGGCCCAUAUCUAAGUGCUUGUAUACAAAUAAAGAUGAUUAAAUUGCUUCGAACAGAUUUUGAAUUACAUCUGAGCAGCUAUAUUUUAAAAUAGCGAGCACACUCUAUUUCACCACUGUUAUCAAUAAAAUAUUCA